rnacentral:rRNA from 1 species
UACGUAGGGUGCAAGCGUUAAUCGGAAUUACUGGGCGUAAAGCGUGCGCAGGCGGCUAUGCAAGACAGAUGUGAAAUCCCCCGGGCUCAACCUGGGAACUGCAUUUGUGACUGCAUGGCUAGAGUACGGUAGAGGGGGGAUGGAAUUCCGCGUGUAGCAGUGAAAUGCGUAGAUAUGCGGAGGAACACCGAUGGCGAAGGCAAUCCCCUGGACCUGUACU